rnacentral:tRNA from 1 species
GCCGGAUGUGGCUCAGUUGGUUAGAGCGCCUGCUUGUGGCGCAGGAGGCCGUGGGUUCAAGUCCCAUCAUUCGCCCCA